GCCCCGCCCUGAUGUGUUUCACCUGCUGUAUCACCUGUCCCUCAUUUGUUCAUUACCUCAUGUAUUUAACCUCUGUGUUCCAUUUGUCUGGUGUCAGAUCGUCUUGAGUCCUUGUGUUUUGCACGUCAGUUUGUGUCUCUUUGUAUCCUGGUCCGUUCAGCAUUUUGUAGCCUGUUGCCAUUAUUUUGGAUUUCUCCCUGCGUGGCCUUUAUGCUUGCAGGGACCCAGAUGUGCCCUGGCACACCCUGUUCCCCCAGCUGAUGAACGCCAUAGCUGGCAUUAUGGACGUGGUGUGCCGGGAACAUCGCCGGAGGAUGGCUACGGAGGACCGGGAAAGGUGGCUCCAAAAAUCCCUGCAACGGGAGCGAGAAUGCCGGCAGAAGGAGGAGGAGGCCUUAGAAGACAAAGUGCAACAGCUCAAGCUCCUGUUUGACUGCAGCUUUUAAAAAAGAUGAUGUUACUGAUGCAGAGACCCGGGUUGGGGCAGAGCAAGGAGAGGAGGAGGAGGCUAGGCUCAUUUUUUUCUUUUCUUUAAAGUCAUAUUAUGUUCAUUUUCAGGUUCAUAAUUGUUAUAGUCGUUUUACCAGAAUAUUUUUAUGUAGUUUAAUUGUCAGAAAACACUAUAUUUUUGUUGUACUGCACAUUGCUGCAGCUCGUCUUUUCAUCCUGUGUGUUGAGCUCUCUGUUUUAGCUACAGAGUGAGGCAUCUCACUUCUGUUCCAUCGUUGUUGGGAGACACAGAGCAGAGCAUGAGGAAGUGCCAUGCUAAAAGCUAGACGAACUUUAUAAAAUUGUGUCUCUUAAAUAAAGGCUGGACUACAAUAGAGCUGUUUGGAGCAGUUUGUGAACAGUAUUUUCUGUUGGAGAUGGUAAGUCCCUUAAGAGUGGACUUUGGGCUUUUUUCACUUUGUAACCCUAUAACAUGCACAAAAAAAGAUAUAUAACACAAUACAGGAAAGUGGAAAAUCCAAAAGGCAUAAUAUGAUCAC